UGUUUCCUGUUCAUUAUUCGGCAAAUACGUGUAAGCGUUAGACCGCACAAGUUUGUGUCAACGACUGCAUAUACGAUAAAAAUAACAUAGGCCAACAAAAUAUUUCCGUUUUUUUCAACAUAUUUAAUUAUAUUGAAUUUAUAAAUUCAAUGCACAUGUCCGCAGCUCUAGUGUCAUUGGGGAUUAUCUCAGGUUCGAUCUUUUUUACUUUAAUUAUCCUGUAUUACCAAAUGAGCUAUUCCGUCUACAAACUUGAUCGAUUGCCUUUAAUAAAUAUUGAGAGGAUUUCGCUUCUCCGUGUGCCUGUACUAAAGCUCAAAUAUACCUAAAUAAUUUCAGAUUCUAAUGACAGUUACUGUUUGAAAGGGGAAUCUUAAACGAUUUAAUAGUAAAGUAACACUUCCAAAAUAGGCAAAAAAAAUAUUUCUAAACGCUGUUUUAUUUCAACGAAUGUUCAAUGUUUUUUGACAAUUGAAGAAAUGUAGACUGUUUGUAUUUAUUUAAGAUUUGAAAAACGAUAUGAACCCCAAUGGGUGGUCAAACGAUGCGCACGGGGAUCGUAACUCAACUGGGUUGAUUAUCGCAGUGUCAUGUACAGCGGUGGUUGCGGUUGUUUCGCUCAUACUAACGUUGUGUGCAGGAAUAAGAAUGAUGCGAAUCAAUCGCACGAUAAAAUGGAUGUCAAAUGAUCGAGAAAUUCCAAUGUUUGCACGGAUACAAUAGCAUACUGACGAUCAGGAAAUUGAAUAAAGACAAUUUUGGUAUCAAAAGCUUUUAAACCAUCAACCGCCCUGGAAGUAAUCUAAGAUACCCGAGCAUGAACCGUUGCAAUUGUGUUUACAUCAGAAGUUGAUUAAUUAUGUAACUGUAUGUGUUUACAGAGUUUGUGUACUGUAUAGUCAAAUUAAGAUAAUAAUGCGACGGCGUACUUUUGUAACCAAUUUUACAACAGGCAAAUUAAUUUUGCAAACAACUUGACUAGCAUCAACUGUUCAGGUAUUUAGUCAUAUGCAAUGGCUAUCUUUUCAAAGUCGUGUCUACGACCAUAGUUGCGUAAUAACUUAUCAAACCACAUUACACGUGCCUUGAAUAUAUGAAAGAUAUAAAACCUUUCUUAAAUAACAAAAGACAUACCUUGUUAUAUUCGACACACAAGAUAUUGCAAUUGAAAUAUGUUCAACUAUAUACAUGAAACUGUCUUUCAUAAAUUACAGCAGACUUUUCUGGAAUUGUUUACCAAAUACAGUCGGUCUGCAACAUCAAUUCGAUCAUUCAAAAGUAACUGCAAACAGUAUUAUUUUUACCAAGUGCAAUACAUCUAGUGUUCAAGUGUGUGGUAGAGACUAUAAUUUGUACCGCACACCGCAUAUUAAUUUGCUUUGUGUAUUUGAAUGAAUAUCAUUUUUGUUAAUGUUCUCAUUGGGCGAUAUUAACAUUGUAAGUUACAUUUAUAUCUAUUAAAUAAAUUGAAUUCGCCAUAUAAUCACUAACUUAAUUUCAUAUAUAUAUGUAUGCUUUUAUUUUAUUUUUAUUGAUGAUAAGUUUGAUGAUAUAUUAUUGUUUUGUUUAUAUUGUAUAAUUUGGUUCAUAUAAAUGUUGUUUUCGCUGUUUAAACAAAUGGUGUGGUCAUAGUGUAACAUCAGUUUAUAAAUUCCUUAGCCCUGCGAGAAAAUGAAAUUAACUAGAAGUUAUUAUUUGUUUUUGUUUUUAUAAAAGAAGCCAUGUUAAUUUGAAAGUUUACAUUGGAUAUUAUUUAGAAUACAAAUUCGACCAACGUUACUGUUAUGUUCCGCGGAUUUUAUUGCUUGUUUGUUAAUGAAAUUGUUUGUUUAAUGGUAUGCAUAUAAUCUGAUUUAUACAAUGUUUAUAAUAUAGAGGAUAUUUGUUGGAUUCGGUAGAUUAUUGAUUUUAAUUCACGAGCGAUCAAAGAAAAUAAUAUUUUGACGAGUGGCGCAGCCACGAGUGCAAAAAUAUAUUUUCUAUGAUCACGAGUGAUUUAAAAUCGAUAUUCCACCGAAUCCAACACAUUUUCUGUUUAUUUUAUGCUUUUAUUCACAGUUUAUAUACAUUGUUAAAGAGUUUAACUUAAUAAGUUCGCUGGGAUAAUGACGUCAUUUCGUCACAAAAUAUGAAGUCAUUUCCCAGUAAACAGUGAAA